rnacentral:rRNA from 1 species
UGCGGAGGGAGCUAGCGUUGUUCGGAUAUACUGGGCGUAAAGCGCACGUAGGCGGCGUCGUAAGUCAGGGGUGAAAUCCCGGAGCCCAACUCCGGAACUGCCUUUGAAACUGCAAUGCUAGAAUCUUGGAGAGGCGAGUGGAAUUCCGAGUGUAGAGGUGAAAUUCGUAGAUAUUCGGAAGAACACCAGUGGCGAAGGCGACUCGCUGGACAAGUAUUGACGCUGAGGUGCGAAAGCGUGGGGAGCAAACAGG